rnacentral:rRNA from 1 species
CACGCAGGCGGUCUGUCAAGUCGGAUGUGAAGUCCCCGGGCUCAACCUGGGAACUGCAUUCGAAACUGGCAGGCUAGAGUCUUGUAGAGGGGGGUAGAAUUCCAGGUGUAGCGGUGAAAUGCGUAGAGAUCUGGAGGAAUACCGGUGGCGAAGGCGGCCCCCUGGACAAAGACUGACGCUCAGGUGCGAAAGCGUGGGGAGCAAACA